UGAAGAGUGGGCUAACAUUUUAAAAUGAUGGGGCAAUGGGUUGCCAGAAAGGUACUUCCAGGAUGUCUUGAAACCUAUUUGGAAGAAAGUCACCAAUCAGAUGAAGGGGCUUGUGAAGUGAUAUUUGAUGGGAAUGGAAGAAAAGUACUGGAGAGGGGUGGCUGAGGAACGAGAGAUCAAGGGAUAUGCUGCUAAAACACUCAAGAAGCAAAUGGAGGUUUCUCUGUGCCUCCCAGGAGAGACGAGGAGGAGAUGCAGGGAUAAUGUUCACAGGAACAAUGUGGCAAAGCAUCUCUCUGAAGUAUUUAAUGCAAUUUGUCCUUCCAACAACUCAAUCGCUACCUCCACUGAGAAGGGAAGAGACACCUCUUAAAGAUCUGCAGCGGUGGCUCAUGAGAUGGUGGCUGCUGUCUUUUAUACUAGAACACACAGGGAGAGCAGAAGGAGCAUUCCCAAGUGGCUAGACCUAUAUAAAGGAA